GCCUCGGUGGUGUAGUGGUGGAGCACGCGUCUCCGGAUAGAAUGAAACGCAGGUUCGAUUUCCACCCGAGGCC